rnacentral:rRNA from 1 species
GACGAACGCUGGCGGCGUGCUUAACACAUGCAAGUCGAACGGAAAGGCCCUGCGUGUGUGGUGUGCUCGGGUGGCGAACGGGUGAGGAACACGUGAGUAACCGGCCCUUGACUUUCGGGUGACUUCAGGAAACUGGGGCUAAUACCGGAUAGGAGCUCCUGCUCCAUGGUGGGGGUUGGAAAUUUUCGGCGGUUGGGGAUGGACGCGCGGCUUAUCAGCUUGUUGGUGGGGUAGUGGCUUGCCAAGGCUUUGACGGGUAGCCGGCCUGAGAGGGUGACCGGCCACAUUGGGACUGCGAUACGGCGCAGACUCCUACGGGAGGCAGCAGUGGGGAAUAUUGCACAAUGGGCGGAAGCCUGAUGCAGCAACGCCGCGUGCGGGAUGACGGCCUUCGGGUUGUAAACCGCUUUCGCCUGUGACGAAGCGUGAGUGACGGUAAUGGGUAAAGAAGCACCGGCUAACUACGUG